CGAGAGACAAGCUACCAUGAACAGGGAAAGCUCACACGGCCUGAACCCUACACGAUGACUACAGGAAACUGAGGAAUGCUGGGAGUGGGAAAAAUAGUCUGCCCCAGGGAAGAGCACAGCAACUGGUUAUCCAGCACCAAACGGCCCCAGGUCCUUCAAGCCCACUGCUGCCACUCAGGAUCAGCUUCCAUCUGCUUCUCAUGGCUGCAACAUCGGAGACCUAACCCCAAGUCACAAAAGGAACAUGUAUUUACUCCCCUGGACCACUCUACUCUGUCUUGACUGGAGUCAGGCAAUAAUACUAGAACAGACCAAGCACAGUUGAUUUCAGGGUUUGGAGCAUAAACAAUAAAGCCACAAGGAUCUA